rnacentral:rRNA from 1 species
CAUCGGGACUCCUACGGGAGGCAGCAGUGGGGAAUAUUGGACAAUGGGCGAAAGCCUGAUCCAGCAAUGCCGCGUGAGUGAUGAAGGCCUUAGGGUUGUAAAGCUCUUUUACCCGGGAUGAUAAUGACAGUACCGGAGAAUAAGCUCCUAUUU